rnacentral:tRNA from 1 species
GCCAGUUUGGCUCAGUGGAUAGAGCGUUGGCCUGUGGAGUGAAGGGUCGCGGGUUUGAUUCCAGUCAAAGGCA